AACGAACGCUGGCGGCAUGCCUAACACAUGCACGUCGAACGAAGGCUUCGGCCUUAGUGGCGCACGGGUGAGUAACGCGUUGGAAAUUGCCUUUUGGUGGGGUAUAACGACGGGAAACUGUUGCUAAUACCGCAUACGUCCUUACGGGGAAAGAUUUAUCGCUGAUAGAUGUGCCCGCGUCAGAUUAGCUAGUUGGUGAGGUAAUGUCUGCCCAAGGCGACGAUCGGUAGCUGGUCUGAGAGGAUGAUCUACCACACUGGGACUGAGACACGGACGAGACUCCUACGGGAGGCAGCAGUGGGGAAUAUUGGACAAUGGGCGAAAGCCUGAUCCAGCAAUGCCGCGUGAGUGAUGAAGGCCUUAGGGUUGUAAAGCUCUUUCGGGUGGGACGAUGAUGACGGUACCACCAGAAGAAGCCCCGGCUAACUUCGUGCCAGCCGCCGCCGUAA
rnacentral:rRNA from 1 species